UAUUAGCUAAGGGUAAGCUAAAUCUAACCAUAAGCAAGUAGUAAUAAAGUGAUUAUAACUGAUCUCCGUUGCGUUAGUACCGAUAAAAAACCCCAGCGCAGCUCACUUGACUAUCUCUCUCCUUCAUCCCAUUAUCACAGUAACCCACGUGCUGUUGGUUAGCUAAACGUGUGGUAACAGAACAUGCUGCAGUUAGCAUGUCUGGCCCCUGCUACCUUCUUCAAUAGUGUUAACUGUUUGUCUGAACUCCUGGAAAGAUUAAAUUUAUUCGGAUACAUCUGUCCGAAGAAAGCAGGAGUGUGUCCUGAAAGAGUUACCGUAUCUCCCAGAAGUGAGUCCACCCUCAAAUCUAUUGGCCUCAGGAGGUUUUAAACAUACUGCAAUCACAGGUCUCCCCAUGAGGAACUGGCGGGUCUCAGGACUCCAGCAUGGUCCUGCAGUUUGUGUGGUUAGAUCUUCAGAGAGCAGUUAGAGGCCUUGGCACAGGCUAUUGAAUGUGACGACACCACCUUUUAUCACAUGCACAUUCAGAGAGGAAGUGUUUCGACCUGUGCCCAAAGGUUAAACUCCAGCACUCAGCCAACAUGGAAACAAGGUAUGUGUGUGUCAUCUGUCUAAAAGCUUCAACUACAUGUAGCACAUGGAGGCUACUCCCUACAUGUCCACACUGUUCAUUCUUCACCUGGCCAAAGUGAGUGACAUCACUCAUAUUUGAGUUACAAUCAGUUAGUAUUUUAAGCAUUUGGUUUCUGCUACUUCAUUCAAAAUACAUCAGAAAAACACAGUUGCAUUUCCCGUGGCUCAGAGUAAUGUUCUUUUACCCUGAACACCUCCAAAAUGAUGUUUUAGUGUGUCUGCAUUGGUGUCUAACAUUACAGCUUAUAAUGGUCAUGUUCUGAUGCCAGGCUACUUUAAAGGAGUCAUAUCAUGCUUUUCAUUCUAAAAAAUAUUAGACUUUAAUGUCUCAGUAAGGUCUCUGUAAAUUUUCAUCCCAUAAAACCCUUUAGAUCGUCCACACUGCCCCUGUCAAUAUGUGGUUCUCACUCCCCAUCAGCAAACGCUGUGUUUUCUGGGCGUGUCGCAAGCGAAGCUGCUCACCACACCUCUGUGCGGAAGCGCAUACCUUUUUUGUUGUUGUUUUUUUUUAAAUUGGCUCCAUGGAUACAAGCCACCGCACGGUUAGGAUACAAUAGGUGGCAGUAGUGCGACAUUGAGAAUGCAAUCCACCGCAAUCCUCCACAGAAGAAGAAGACCCACUACAGAACUGCACGACAUUAGUCAGCUGAUUCGUAGCGUAGUAGAACCAUACGUCUACGAUCCCGAAUCUGACCCUGAAGCUGAAGAGGAGGCUGUUGAAGUCACCACAUUUCGGCUGAUGCAAGAUGUGUCUCAUUGUUGUUACAGGUAUCUAGUCUACAGAGGCUAGUGAGCUGGUGCUGAGGAUUCCUGGGGUGAAGAAUCUGAGUUGCCAUCUCUUCAUGCUUGGGUUGUAGAUGAAGGCAGUUUCCUGAUGGAUAAAACACUAAAACACUCAUAGUAUGAUUGAUGUAGACCACCUGUAGAAUAACUCCUUUACCGUUUCAGUAAAAAUGUGUUUUUUGUGAGUGCAACACUCAUUAAGAAUUUUUUUAACUUUAUUUAUAUAUAAUUUAUAUGCGUUUUAUUUAUGGCCGCUUCAACUUUAUAGCUUACCAUAUUAGAAAGAGAAAAACAUGUAAUUUCAAUACUAUGAUUUCCUAAAUAAAAGUGUUUUCCCUUCAGAAA